UAUUACUAGGAGUUGCUACCAUGCUGGUUUUUGCUGAUGAGCCUGCUAAUGCGGGCUCCGCUGGAGGUUUUCCUGUGAAGAUACCUGACUUUGAAACGCUUAAUGCUCUUUUCUCAAAAUUUACAGAUGAUUUUAUAAAUAUGUUUCCAUGGAUAUAGUCAUAAAUAUGAGAGUGAGAAUGAAAAAGUUUUCAUCUUCAAGAUUUGUUCUGCAGGACUCAACCAGCAAUGCUUUCAUUUGAAAUGAUCCAUCAACCCCCUCAGCCUGACAAUGUAGCUUCUUGCCUCCAG